UACGGUGGGGGCAAGCGUUGUUCGGAAUUACUGGGCGUAAAGGGCGCGUAGGCGGUUCGCUAAGUUGGAUGUGAAAACUCUGGGCUCAACCCAGAGCCUGCAUCCAAAACUGGCGGGCUAGAGUUCUGGAGGGGGUAGCGGAAUUCCUGGUGUAGCGGUGAAAUGCGUAGAUAUCAGGAGGAACAUCAGUGGCGAAAGCGGCUUCCUGGUCCAGCACCGACGUUCAGGCACGAAAGCGUGGGGAGCAAACAGG
rnacentral:rRNA from 1 species